CAGCCGCCGCGGUAAAACGAAGGGGGCUAGCGUUGUUCGGAAUUACUGGGCGUAAAGCGCACGUAGGCGGAUAUUUAAGUCAGGGGUGAAAUCCCGCAGCUCAACUGCGGAACUGCCUUUGAUACUGGGUAUCUUGAGUAUGGAAGAGGUUAGUGGAAUUGCGAGUGUAGAGGUGAAAUUCGUAGAUAUUCGCAGGAACACCAGUGGCGAAGGCGGCUAACUGGUCCAUAACUGACGCUGAGGCACGAAAGCUAGGGGAGCAAACAGGAUUAGAUACCCCGGUAGUCCCUGUCUCUUAUAA
rnacentral:rRNA from 1 species